AUGGACUCUAUUAACGCCAGCAAGCAAGGAAGCCAGUUUCUGCAGGUUUAUAUUCUCCACUACUCCCCGACAAAGCACGCCCAGCACAGACCCCAAGGCCAGGCGCUUCCCAGUCUGGAUCUAUUGACCCGGGGACCACCUGAGCCACGCAGGCGCACAGACGGGAACCCUCCCCCACCCCGCUCCCAGCGCGCUCCCGCCUGCCCCUCCCGCAAGCCCAGCGGGGGCGGGAAGUCUGGCGCGCGCGCGCCGGCCCUUCGCCCGGGCUCCGCCCCCCGCCCUGCCGCGCGCUCCCGCCCCCGGGCUGAGGCGACUCUGAGUCGGAGCCCGACACAAAGGCGGUGGCGACGGCGGCAGCGGCAGCAGCGAAGGGACCCUAGAGGCCGCUCCGCCCGGGCUCUCCGGGCCCACUGCACUCACCCCAGCCGGCAGUCCUGCUGCCCACCCGCGGCUCUAAGAUGGCGGCGACGAAAGAGACCGGGCGAGCGGCAGCCCCGAGCGGGAAGCGCCGGAGGGGCCUCCGCCGUCCUGCUUCGGACUCCCGGACCCAGGCGCGGCACGCAGCGGGACCGUGGCUUCCUGGGGCUCUUACCUGCCCGAAGCGGACUCGAGGGGAUGCGGCCACACGUUCUGCUCGACCGCCCGUUUUGCCGCCUCCGCCUCGCCCUCCCCAGCGCCGCUGCCGCCAUCUUGUGUCCCGGGCCGGGACUCCGCGCUGCGCAUGCGUCGGUACCGCCUCUGAAGGACCUCGCCACGGCCGCGCCGCCAUCUUGAGUGUGGCAACGUUGACUGGCUCCCCAGACCUUGAUGGCUUUCGCCCCCACCCCCCGCCCCCAACUCCCCAUUUUCCGGUUGAUCUGGGUGGUCCCUUGUGGUCCUGAGGAUGGGGAAAAACAGCGUUGCUAUUCUUGAAACGUAGGUGGGAAGGAAGGAAUCUAUCGCACACCCCUGCCUCAGUUUCCCUGCCGAACGCAUUCGCAGGGGCUGAAGAUCUAGGACACUUUAGGGGGCACGAAGCUGGUCUAGAGUCUUCUGGGGGCUCUGGCUCAGUUGCCGACAUAGGCGGAGCGGUGACGUAGGCCCUGCACGUUGGGUCCUGGCCUGCACAGUGCUCUGCCGCUUCCAGCUGGUGUCCUCUCGGGGCCUCUGCCCUCUAAGGGUCCUGGAAUGUUAACUCUCUCUGCCUAGAGGCCAGGUGACGAAGACGUGCAAAUCGAACCUUUGCGCGUUAGCAACCUGCUCACAAAUUGCUCUUGAAUAGUCGUAGCUUUUGGAGGAGUGCAAAUAGGGUAGAUGUGGCUUUGGGCAGUUGUAAAGUUGUGAAGGCUGCACACAGCUUAGUGGGAGACGCUUCUGCAAGGGGCCAUCGUCGGGCUCCCUUCCGGAAUUAGGCUCCUAGCUCCACCCACUUGUGGCCUCCUAAGGAAGCUGUUGCCCAGUUAAGGUAACUUGAAAGGAGGACAAGUUUGCCACCUGCUGCUGGACUAGCGUAGCAGAUGGCCCAGCUGGUCAGCCUCUCAGGUCUAUGACGCUGUCGGCGCUGGCUGCCCAGUAACUUGGAGCUGGAAUGUUGGGAGGUCAGGAAAAAUGGUCAACAAUAUAAACUAGUAAGAGUUGGAGGAGGAUCUUGUCUAGUCUGCCCACAGACACCUGACCAUCGACCCCAGGUGUGUCCAUCUUAGGGAUUUUUUUGUUCUUUUGGUUUUUUGAUAGUUCUGCUAUAUAACCCUGGCAGACCAGGAACUCAGCAGUCUGUCUGCCUGCUGGGUGCUGAAAUUAAAAGCAUACACCAUCA